rnacentral:lncRNA from 1 species
AAUGAAAUAGAAAUAGGUGGAAUGACAUAAAGAUACUAAAGGGAUACCACCUGGAAUUUAGGGACUAUUUUGUGAUUCAGGAUUUUGUAUGUUUCCAUGGAGCCAUCUGUAAUGCUUGCAGGAGCAGAGCUCUGAUCUGGAGAUAUCAGUAGCUCAGUAAAAAUUCUGAGAUGCCAGAGUCCCUUAGUAUUGAGACCUUUCUGGUUUUUUUGGGGGUAAACUUGGUCUGAGCCAUUGGAAAUACCCAUAUGGAUUCACAGGAAUACCUUCUGAUGAUUUCUAUCAGUGGACUAAUGUAACUCUUCUCCGGUCAUCUCUUACAGUUACAGAACUGGUGGCAGAUUUGUUCCCUCACCAAUCUUUCUGCAGUUGGAGAAGAUCCAUCAAAGCAGGAGAGAAGCAGAAAAUGAUUGGAUCUUAUUUCCUUGUGACCUUGGGCUGUGACACCAUUUGACCUCAGGAGUUUAAGUAGGGUCAGAGCAGCACUUGAAAGAGGCUAACAUGUAUUUUUUUUCUGUAGGCUGUUUUGAUGAAUCAGUGGUUGAAACUAUGGUUUCUGAAUUAAUGCUGUUCUAAUCCACUGACAAAGUAUUCGGAAUAUGUUUUGUUACUCUGUGUGCUAUUUGUGAGUGAGUCUGAAAAUGGAUGUUAACUGCUAGUAUCUUCUUAAUAGCUUUCGUGUAUGAGGGUCAUUUUACUUUUUUAGCCACAUUUUAAUUCAGGUAUUUAGACAAUGGUAACUUUUUUUUUUUAAUGUAAUUUUGAUUUACCCCCCUUGUCUUUGCUGUUUUCCCUGCAUUUUAAGUGCUGUUUUAUGGUGCCUAUCUCUGCUUGCUUUUCAUUCUGUGGAGAAUGCAAUAAUGUAAGCAAUAUCAUUAGUUAUGCAAAGAGAGAUUUAACAU